rnacentral:rRNA from 1 species
GGGGUAAAGGCUCACCAUGGCGACGAUCGGUAGCCGAACUGAGAGGUUGAUCGGCCGCAUUGGGACUGAGACACGGCCCAGACUCCUACGGGAGGCAGCAGUGGGGGAUAUUGCAUAAUGGGGGAAACCCUGAUGCAGCAAUGCCGCGUGAGGGAAGAAGGUCUUCGGAUUGUAAACCUAAGUAGCCAGGGACGAUAAUGACGGUACCUGGAGAGUAAGCUCCGGCUAACUAC